GGAGAGUCAGACACAGACAGACAGACAGAUACAUGAGUGGCUGAUGUAAAGGAGGAGCUAACUAAUGUGAGAUGAAAUUUAGCCAUGGCGUAGAGUGAAAUAUACUGAAGAUCUCCCCAACCAUGAUAUGGUGUGUGCCCGGCCAAGCCCUGACUGACAUGC